UCUGGCUCACAAGGGCGUUUUUGUCAUUUUUUUCUUAGAAAAUACCGAAACCUGCCAAAAACAUGGUGUAAAAGCUAAAUAUGUUCAUACAUACUUUAAAUCAGAUAACUGAAGUAUAAAAUUACUUUUACAGUGACACGUGGGCCCCCAACUGACCAAGAAGAUGUAGGGCUAUGAACCCUUACUUUCUAGGAUGCAACUCCGAGAUUAAUUCUCGUCUUAAUCAACUAUCAACAAACUGUCCUGAGCCUAAAAAAUGGAUAGCAAGAGGGGUGAGAUUACAUAAUCCCAGUGAGUAAACAGACACCAUCUAAACUAUCUAAAGGCGAGUAAAUGGAGACGAAUUAAAAUAUUUUUUUCUAAUAUAUGUUUCAUAACAUGAAUAUUCAGUUUACUCAAUUAAUCAACAUGGCUUAUAUAUCUCACAAAACUUGGCUCAUGCCAAAAAAUAAUUCUCGUGGGUACCUUCGUCAAGGUAUCCCACUAAGACCGCCAAGGUUGUUAAAUGUCCCAUACCCGUAAACAUGUUUUCGCAUUUGACACACAGCCAUUCCUUGGCAUUGGCUGAGUCUCACUCUCACGCUGUGGUCCACGUGAAGUGCACUCAAAUCUUUACCUCAGGAGAUACUUCAUCCAACAUCUCCCCCCGGCGGUAAAUAUAUAUUGGGUUACCAUACCCCUCUCAUAGGCAGUCAACGGAAACCCCCACCACUGCAGUGACCGCUUAAUAUACCACCAGACCCAUAAAAAUUUUCAGUAGCAUAAUCUGGCAACUAAAAUUAAUCCAGUCUACCGAGACCAAUCCAAAGUUGUUCACAUAUUUCAUGCCAACCCAAAAAGUUUAGCCAUCAUGCUACCAUAGUGUCAUAAGCCACAAUUUCAAUAACAUAUAAAAUCAUAAAUUUCAACACAGUCUCCAUAUACUCAAUUUUCCCAAAACAACAUUUGUUUUCAAAACCAGUAUAAAUCUCAUUUUUAUUAAAAAAAUUNUUUUCAAAACUAGUAUUCAAUAUUCCAAAAAAUUUAUAAAAUCAUUUUAUAAAAUCACAAUUUCUCCUAAAACGUAGCAAUUUACCAUUUAAACCCAUUUUUUAUAAAAUCACACAAUUGUAUAAAACUACUUUAGAUAAUUAAGACGAUAAUAAGUUUACUCACAGUUCUAGGAGUCGAUGUACUCCUAAUCCCAGUCUUUAAGCACAAUCUCUGUACUUUUACCAGUGUAAUUUAUUCACCACCUAUCCACAAUGUACAAUACAUAAUUCACCACAUUAAUGCUUGAUCAUUAUAAAAUCAAUUCAAGCUCGAUGUAUAUGCAUGAUAUGAUAUGCAACUUAUCCGACUACCGCUUAAAUGCGGUGCUGACUUAAUUCGGCCUAUUACCCGAUUAAAUGACAAUUAUGUCCGAUUUAGCUCCAAAUUGCUCCAUUUCAUUUCUAAUACCUCAAUUCACCAAACAUUAUUCAAAUAACACCAAUUUCAGCAUCAAAACCUUCCCAUUUCUUCAUGGAAAAAUUCGGCCAUUAUAGUGCACUAACACCAUGAUUUUUCCUACUCAAUUUUCUCACCAUUAUUCAUCAUUUGCUAAGCCAUUUCUCUUGAAAUAAUAACAAUCCAUCACCCACACACAUCAAGGAAGAUUCGGCCAAUGAAGAUUCAUGGAGAAAAUGGAUUCUUUUCUUGUUGUUUUGCUUCUAAAUAUGCUAAACUAACUAAAAACACUAACAUAUCUUAAAAUUAAUUCAAUCCAAUAUCUUUCUCUCUCCUUACCCAUUUUGACCAGUCAUGAAUUCAUCAUGAAAACAUGUAAUUUUACUAUGAAAAAUAAGGGAAAAUGCAUGGGUAAGGUAAAUCACUUGCAAAAUCAAAGAAAUUUUACCUUUGCUUGAUCAAAUCCUUGAAUUCCAACACAUUCUCUUUGAUUUUUUCGACCUAGGGUUUGUUCUUCCUUGGUUUCUCUUCUUUUCUGGUUUA
rnacentral:lncRNA from 1 species